rnacentral:rRNA from 1 species
GGGGAAUAUUGCACAAUGGGGGAAACCCUGAUGCAGCGACGCCGCGUGGAGGAAGAAGGUCUUCGGAUUGUAAACUCCUGUUGUUGAGGAAGAUAAUGACGGUACUCAACAAGGAAGUGACGGCUAACUACGUGCCAGCAGCCGCGGUAAAACGUAGGUCACAAGCGUUGUCCGGAAUUACUGGGUGUAAAGGGAGCGCAGGCGGGAAGACAAGUUGGAAGUGAAAUCUAUGGGCUCAACCCAUAAACUGCUUUCAAAACUGUUUUUCUUGAGUAGUGCAGAGGUAGGCGGAAUUCCCGGUGUAGCGGUGGAAUGCGUAGAUAUCGGGAGGAACACCAGUGGCGAAGGCGGCCUACUGGGCACCAACUGACGCUGAGGCUCGAAAGUGUGGGUAGCAAACAGGAUUAGAUACCCUGGUAGUCCACACCGUAAACGAUGAUUACUAGGUGUUGGAGGAUUGACCCCUUCAGUGCCGCAGUUAACACAAUAAGUAAUCCACCUGGGGAGUACGACCGCAAGGUUGAAACUCAAAGGAAUUGACGGGGGCCCGCACAAGCAGUGGAGUAUGUGGUUUAAUUCGACGCAACGCGAAAAACCUUACCAAGUCUUGACAUCCCUUGACGAACAUAGAAAUAUGUUUUCUCUUCGGAGCAAGGAGACAGGUGGUGCAUGGUUGUCGUCAGCUCGUGUCGUGAGAUGUUGGGUUAAGUCCCGCAACGAGCGCAACCCUUAUGGUCAGUUACUACGCAAGAGGACUCUGGCCAGACUGCCGUUGACAAAACGGAGGAAGGUGGGGAUGACGUCAAAUCAUCAUGCCCUUUAUGACUUGGGCUACACACGUACUACAAUGGCGUUAAACAAAGAGAAGCAAGACCGCGAGGUGGAGCAAAACUCAGAAACAACGUCCCAGUUCGGACUGCAGGCUGCAACUCGCCUGCACGAAGUCGGAAUUGCUAGUAAUCGUGGAUCAGCAUGCCACGGUGAAUACGUUCCCG